UACUCGACAGUAAAAGGCGCUUACCAGGAGGGAAAGCGGGAACUCUUAAGCGAGAAUAACAGUCGCUAUACUUCCUUAUACGGUGUACCAGCCAUCACUCGCUGUUCCUGGUGUAUAUUGUCCAGGGCUACUCGACUUAAGUGAUAUACUGAACCGAAGUUUGUUAAAUAAUUGGUGGGAGGAACAGCCAUUUGAUGAGAUGGCUGAGCGGCAGGAGGUGGCCCGGGUGGAAGGUACAAUAGUGGGCGCGGUGGGUGUUCACACGCCGAUGGACGACCUCGACAGAGCCACCAGGAAACAAGUUACUCUGACAGCUUACAGAGUGAUCCAGCAGGCAUGUGGAGAAGAUGUAUCAGAGGACGACCACCUAACUGAACGAACAGACUACAAGCACCACCUGGAGACA